rnacentral:rRNA from 1 species
GGAGGGUGCUAGCGUUGUUCGGAAUCACUGGGCGUAAAGGGCGCGUAGGCGGCUCUGGCGGUCGGCUUUGUGAAAGCCCGGGGCUCAACCCCGGAGGUGCGGCCGAAACACCGGGGCUCGAGGCCGGAAGAGGAGGGUGGAAUACCCAGUGUAGAGGUGAAAUUCGUAGAUAUUGGGUGGAACACCGGUGGCGAAAGCGGCUCUCUGGUCCGGACCUGACGCUGAGGCGCGAAAGCGUGGGGAGCAAACAGGAUUAGAUACCCUGGUAGUCCACGCCCUAAACGAUGCGGGCUAGACGUCGGGGGGCAUGCCCCUCGGUGUCGCAGCUAACGCGUUAAGCCCGCCGCCUGGGGAGUACGGCCGCAAGGUUAAA